rnacentral:lncRNA from 1 species
GUUUGCUAGUAUUAGGUUGAUGCAAAAUUAAUUGCUGUUUUGCCAUUGCUUUUAAUUGCAAAAACUGUAAAUACUUUUGCACCAAACUAAUAUUUUGUUGAGAAUGCUUGCAUUAAUGUUCAUCAGAGUUAUUGGCCUAUAGUUUUUUUUUUUUUUAAUGAUGUGUCUUUUUAUGGUUUUGGUAUCAGGAUAAUAAUGACCUUGUAGAGUGAGUCUGGAAGUAAUUAUUACUUCCAUAGUUUAAGUAGGAAUGGUAUUCAUUCUUCUUGAAAUGUUUGGUAAAUUUCAGCAGUGAAGCUGUUAAGUCCCAGGUUUCCUAUGCUGGGAGACUUUUCAUUGCAUUUUUGACCUCAUUAUCUUUUAUAGGUCUGCUCAGGUUUUAGAUUUCUUAAUGGUUAAAUCUUAGUAGGUUGUGUCUAGGAAUUUAUUCAUUUCUUCUAGCUUUUUCAAUUUGUUGGCAUAUAAUUGCUCACGGUAGUCUCUAAUAAUUCUUUGAAUUUCUGCAUUAUCAGUUUUAAUGACUUUUUUC